CCUACGGGGGGCAGCAGUGGGGAAUAUUGGACAAUGGGCGAAAGCCUGAUCCAGCCAUGCCGCGUGUGUGAAGAAGGCCUUCGGGUUGUAAAGCACUUUCAGUGGGGAAGAAAGCCUUGGGGCUAAUACCCUCGAGGAAGGACAUCACCCACAGAAGAAGCACCGGCUAACUCCGUGCCAGCAGCCGCGGUAAUACGGAGGGUGCGAGCGUUAAUCGGAAUUACUGGGCGUAAAGCGCGCGUAGGCGGUCUGAUAAGCCGGUUGUGAAAGCCCCGGGCUCAACCUGGGAACGGCAUCCGGAACUGCAGGGCAGGGGGGCAGGAGAGGAAGGAAGAAUCCCGGGGGUGGGGGUAAAAGGGGAGAGGACCGGGGGGAAUACCGGUGGCGAAGCGGCCUUCUGGACUGACACUGACGCUGAGGUGCGAAAGCGUGGGUAGCAAACAGGAUUAGAUACCCGUGUAGUC
rnacentral:rRNA from 1 species